rnacentral:rRNA from 1 species
UUUUAGUGGCGGACGGGUGAGUAACGCGUGGGUAACCUGCCUCACACUGGGGGAUAACACUUAGAAAUAGGUGCUAAUACCGCAUAAGCGCACGGGACUGCAUGGUCUUGUGUGAAAAACUCCGGUGGUGUGAGAUGGACCCGCGUCUGAUUAGCUGGUUGGCGGGGUAACGGCCCACCAAGGCGACGAUCAGUAGCCGGCCUGAGAGGGUGAACGGCCACAUUGGGACUGAGACACGGCCCAAACUCCUACGGAAGGCAGCAG